AAAUUCAUCCAAAAUUCAUUAUAUGAAUUGAAUUGAUUGAAUUAUAUGAUUUCAAUCACAAAGAUGAGGCCAGCAGGACGAUUGAAUCGUUCCUAUACGAGAUACAGCGUAUAUCACUGUGGGACGACAGCUGUAAAUCAAGGGCCUUUCAACGUGACCGGUUGAAAAAUCCGAUUCUUAAAAAUCGGUGCAUCAGGAGAACCUGUUCUGGGAAGAAGCGAGCCGUCUUCCUGUUACGUGGGAGCAUUUCGUUAUGCUGGUUAUGUCGAGUGACCUCUAAGUGAGAUUCGAGAAGCGGGAAAUGGAAGGAAACGGAUCGCGCGUGAUAAUACUGUGAUAGUAAUAGAGAAUGUUUUAAGAGAUCAAUAGAAAAAAUCCGGACGAUCAUGUUCCAUUUGAUCUUUGGAAAGAAGAUCUGUGUUUGGAAGUACUUUUAUUUCGAAAUUUGUACGAGAUUAUCUAUGAAAGAAUUAGGUUUUAUGAAUGAGGAUUAUGGAAUAGAAAGAUAUGUUUGAUAUUAUGAAAAGAAGAAUUAUUAUUAUUAUUAUUAUUUUUUGAGGAG